UAACUGAAGAGUUUGAUCAUGGCUCAGAUUGAACGCUGGCGGCAGGCCUAACACAUGCAAGUCGAACGGCAGCACAGAAGAGCUUGCUCUUUGGGUGGCGAGUGGCGGACGGGUGAGUAACACGUAGGAAUCUACCCAGUAGUGGGGGAUAACCUGGGGAAACCCAGGCUAAUACCGCAUACGCCCUGAGGGGGAAAGCGGGGGAUCUUCGGACCUCGCGCUAUUGGAUGAGCCUGCGUCGGAUUAGCUAGUUGGUGGGGUAAGGGCUCACCAAGGCGACGAUCCGUAGCUGGUCUGAGAGGAUGACCAGUCACACCGGAACUGAGACACGGUCCGGACUCCUACGGGAGGCAGCAGUGGGGAAUAUUGGACAAUGGGCGCAAGCCUGAUCCAGCCAUGCCGCGUGGGUGAAGAAGGCCUUCGGGUUGUAAAGCCCUUUAGGUGGGGAGGAAGGCAUUCAUGCUAAUACCAUGGAUGAUUGACGUUACCCACAGAAUAAGCACCGGCUAACUCCGUGCCAGCAGCCGCGGUAAUACGGAGGGUGCAAGCGUUAAUCGGAAUUACUGGGCGUAAAGCGCACGUAGGCGGUUUGACAAGUGGGAUGUGAAAGCCCUGGGCUCAACCUGGGAACUGCAUCCCAAACUGUCAGGCUAGAGUAUGGUAGAGGGGGGCGGAAUUCCCGGUGUAGCGGUGAAAUGCGUAGAGAUCGGGAGGAACAUCAGUGGCGAAGGCGGCCCCCUGGACUGAUACUGACGCUGAGGUGCGAAAGCGUGGGGAUCAAACAGGAUUAGAUACCCUGGUAGUCCACGCUGUAAACGAUGAGAACUGGCCGUCGGGCCCUUCGGGGUUUGGUGGCGUAGCUAACGCGCUAAGUUCUCCGCCUGGGGAGUACGGCCGCAAGGCUAAAACUCAAAUGAAUUGACGGGGGCCCGCACAAGCGGUGGAGUAUGUGGUUUAAUUCGAUGCAACGCGCAGAACCUUACCUGGCCUUGACAUCCACGGAACUUUCCAGAGAUGGAUUGGUGCCUUCGGGAACCGUGAGACAGGUGCUGCAUGGCUGUCGUCAGCUCGUGUCGUGAGAUGUUGGGUUAAGUCCCGCAACGAGCGCAACCCUUGUCCUUAGUUGCCAGCACGUAAUGGUGGGAACUCUAAGGAGACUGCCGGUGACAAACCGGAGGAAGGUGGGGAUGACGUCAAGUCAUCAUGGCCCUUACGGCCAGGGCUACACACGUACUACAAUGGUGGGGACAGAGGGCUGCAAACUCGCGAGAGCCAGCCAAUCCCAGAAACCCCAUCUCAGUCCGGAUCGGAGUCUGCAACUCGACUCCGUGAAGUCGGAAUCGCUAGUAAUCGCAGAUCAGCAAUGCUGCGGUGAAUACGUUCCCGGGCCUUGUACACACCGCCCGUCACACCAUGGGAGUGGGUUGCACCAGAAGUAGCUAGUCUAACCUUCGGGAGGACGGUUACCACGGUGUGAUUCAUGACUGGGGUGAAGUCGUAACAAGGUAGCCGUAUCGGAAGGUGCGGCUGGAUCACCUCCUUAA
rnacentral:rRNA from 1 species